rnacentral:rRNA from 1 species
UACGAAGGGAGCUAGCGUUGUUCGGAAUCACUGGGCGUAAAGCGCACGUAGGCGGAUGUGUCAGUCAGGGGUGAAAUCCCGGAACUCAACUUCGGAACUGCCCUUGAUACAGCACGUCUUGAGUCCGGAAGAGGUGGGUGGAAUUCCUAGUGUAGAGGUGAAAUUCGUAGAUAUUAGGAAGAACACCGGUGGCGAAGGCGGCCCACUGGUCCGGUACUGACGCUGAGGUGCGAAAGCGUGGGGAGCAAACAGG